UACGAAGGGGGCUAGCGUUGUUCGGAAUCACUGGGCGUAAAGAGCGCGCAGGCGGUCGUACAAGUCGCGUGUGAAAGCCCCUGGCUCAACUGGGGAGGGUCACGCGAUACUGUUCGACUCGAAGGCAGGAGAGGGAAGUGGAAUUCCCGGUGUAGUGGUGAAAUGCGUAGAUAUCGGGAGGAACACCAGUGGCGAAGGCGACUCCUGGCCUGUUCUUGACGCUGAGGCGCGAAAGCUAGGGUAGCAAACGGG
rnacentral:rRNA from 1 species